rnacentral:rRNA from 1 species
GUGCCAGCCGCCGCGGUAAGACAGAGGGGGCAAGCGUUGUCCGGAUUAACUGGGCGUAAAGCGUCCGCAGGCGGUGUUUCAAGUCGCUGAUGAAAGGUGGCAGCUUAACUGCCACACGCUUGGCGAUACUGGAGCACUCGAGCCGUGCAGAGGUCAGUGGAAUUGCCGGUGUAGUAGUGAAAUGCGUAGAUACCGGCAGGAACACCAAGGGGGAAGCCAGCUGACUGGGCACGUGCUGACGCUGAGGGACGACAGCGUGGGGAGCGAACCGGAUUAGAAACCCGCGUAGUCC